AAUAUGUAUAAACCCAAACCCAAAAAUCUAUAGCACAUUAAAAAAAAAACCUACGUAGGUUUUUGUUCGACUAUUGUUUGACUACCAAGCCAAUUAAGUGCUAUAAGAUGUGAAGGGGAUUAUGGACGACACCGCCAUAGAUUCCAAAACCAGCAUGCAAAGGGUCAUGAAGUCAAAGUAAAGUAGAAAAAUCAAAACCCAAACCACAAAGGGACAUGGAAGACCCUAUGGGUUGAUAACCCACGUACUACAUUGAACAUUCUACAAAAAUCUACAUGUUAUUGUUUACGACGAGUAUUUAAAUUG